GAAAUAAGUAAACCCAGAAUAAGCUUCUAACUUAAUUCUGAAGCAUUAAGUUGUUUUUAUUUCU
rnacentral:tRNA from 1 species